rnacentral:rRNA from 1 species
AUUGAACGCUGGCGGCAUGCUUUACACAUGCAAGUCGAACGGCAGCUUUGGCUUCGGCCUUUCCGCGAGUGGCCAACGGAUGAGUAAUUCAUCGGAACGUGCCCAGCAGUUGGGGAUAGCCCGGCGAAAUCCGGAUUAAUACCUCAUACGACCUUAUGAUGACACCAAGGGACCCAAAGUCCUCUCCCUUUUGGAUCUGCCGAUGUCGGGUUAGCUAGUUGGUAGGGUAAAGGCUUACCAAGGCGACGAUCCGUAGCUGGUCUGAGAGGACGACCAGCCACACUGGGAAUGAGCCACGGCGCAGACUGCUACGGGAGGAAGCAGUGGGGAAUUUUGGACAAUGGGGGAAAGCCUGAUCCAGCAAAGCAGCGUGAGGGAAGAAGGACUUAGGGUUGUAAACCGCUUUUGUUAGGGAAGAAAUAAUGUGGGCUAAAACACGGAGGGGAUGACGGUACCGGAAGAAGAAGCACCGGCUAACUACGUG